AUUGUUUACCUGAAGUCAGGUUACCAUGGUUACUGAAGUUUUUCUCCUCAGCUCCAUGGCAAGAGGCCGGAUAGAGUAAAGUAUCCUACAGAACCACCAGAUUGCCUUGUGGAUUUUCCUGUUCCAUUUGCUGUUUCCUGGAUGCCACAGGUAACUACUUGUCCUGGUUUAGGGCAAAUUUGGGAGAAAACCUCCAAUGGGGCCCCUGCCCUGGGAAGCAAACCCACAUGGCCCCUUUCUCCCACCCCCCAACCGGUUCGGGAAGAGAUUUCUCUGAGAGAAGUGGAAAAAGCCUGUUUAUGUAACAGGCAAAGCACUACCCAGCACAACAAUGAACAAUAUCAAAUUACAAAACCUCUCGCCACUCUGAAGAGAUGACAAAAUUCAGAGGGUCUCUUUCCUGUGGAUGUUCGCUCUGUUAUCAAUCCCUCUGGCGCUGGAAAAUGCCGCUGCCCAGGCUGGGCUCCCGGUAGUCCACGGGUGCAACACGUCUCACAGUCAUGAAUAACCUGAGAAAUGCUGUUCAUGGGUAGAUCCACCCCUCGGUCUCGUGCCCACUUAUAGGUGGCAUCUCUACCCUGAUGACCCGAGGCAUCAUGAGCCCAUUGGGCUAGGAACAACUCUCCCUUAUGUUCCCAAUCCAAAUCUAUCUUUGACACUUCACAGAAGAAAUGCAUUUAAGAUACGCUUCUACCACCCAAGGCCUUGGAAAAAUGAAGGUCAAAGCACGUGCAGCUCCCUUUAUGGGUCAGUACAGUACUGUGUGAUCCAUCACUCUGCUCCAGGGGCCUGGAACAGAGACUAUGAGCUUCCACCAAAAUAAAGAGCCAAGCAACA